rnacentral:rRNA from 1 species
GAUGAACGCUGGCGGCGUGCCUAAUACAUGCAAGUCGAGCGAACGGACGAGAAGCUUGCUUCUCUGAUGUUAGCGGCGGACGGGUGAGUAACACGUGGAUAACCUACCUAUAAUACUGGGAUAACUUCGGGAAACCGGAGCUAAUACCGGAUAAUAUUUUGAACCGCUUGGUUCAAAAGUGAAAGACGGUCUUGCUGUCACUUAUAGAUGGAUCCGCGCUGCAUUAGCUAGUUGGUAAGGUAACGGCUUACCAAGGCAACGAGGCAUAGCCGACCUGAGAGGGUGAUCGGCCACACUGGAACUUGGACACGGUCCAGACUCCUACGGGAGGCAGCAGUAGGGAAUCUUCCGCAAUGGGCGAAAGCCUGACGGAGCAACGCCGCGUGAGUGAUGAAGGUCUUCGGAUCGUAAAACUCUGUUAUUAGGGAAGAACAUAUGUGUAAGUAACUGUGCACAUCUUGACGGUACCUAAUCAGAAAGCCACGGCUAACUACGUG